GCGGGUAUCGUAUAACGGCUAAUAUAUCUGCCUUCCAAGCAGAGGAUGAAGGUUCGAUUCCUUCUACCCGCACCA
rnacentral:tRNA from 1 species